rnacentral:rRNA from 1 species
GAUGAACGCUGGCGGCGUGCCUAAUACAUGCAAGUCGAGCGAACAGACGAGGAGCUUGCUCCUCUGACGUUAGCGGCGGACGGGUGAGUAACACGUGGAUAACCUACCUAUAAGACUGGGAUAACUUCGGGAAACCGUAGCUAAUACCGGAUAAUAUAUUUAACCGCAUGGUUCAAUAGUUAAAUACGGUUUUGCUGUCACUUAUAGAUGGAUCCGCGCCGCAUUAGCUAGUUGGUAAGGUAACGGCUUACCAAGGCAACGAUGCGUAGCCGACCUGAGAGGGGGAUCGGCCACACUGGAACUGAGACACGGUCCAGACUCCUACGGGAGGCAGCAGUAGGGAAUCUUCCGAAAUGGGCGAAAGCCUGACGGAGCAACGCCGCGUGAGUGAUGAAGGUCUUCGGAUCGUAAAACUCUGUUAUUAGGGAAGAACAAAUGUGUAAGUAACUAUGCACGUCUUGACGGUACCUAAUCAGAAAGCCACGGCUAACUACGUG